rnacentral:rRNA from 1 species
CAGUCGCCGCGGUAAUACGAAGGGUGCAAGCGUUACUCGGAAUUACUGGGCGUAAAGCGUGCGUAGGUGGUGGUUUAAGUCCGUUGUGAAAGCCCUGGGCUCAACCUGGGAAUUGCAGUGGAUACUGGGUCACUAGAGUGUGGUAGAGGAUAGUGGAAUUUCCGGUGUAGCAGUGAAAUGCGUAGAGAUCGGAAGGAACAUCUGUGGCGAAGGCGACUAUCUGGGCCAACACUGACACUGAGGCACGAAAGCGUGGGGAGCAAACAGGAUUAGAUACCCCCUAGUCCCUGUCUCUUAUACC